CUUUUAUCCUCUCCCCGCAUCUCUCUUUCUUCUCCUUCCUAUCAAUCCUCCCUUCUCUCUUCUUUUCUCUUCAUUUCUCUGACUUCCUUUACAUACCCCACAUUUUCAAGACUCCUCCAUCCUUCUCCAUCGAGCCGGGAGGCGCCUGGUUGGAUUAUGAAAUCCACCUCGCCUUUGAAUCUUAAUCUCGGCCCAUCUGUUGCUGUGAGGUUUUCCUGCAAUAAUCAUCAUGUCCUCUACCUUCUUCCUCUCAUCAUUAGUCCCUCACUUUCAUCAUCAUCGCUUCUUCUUUUACCAUUCACCAAACGCACCAUCCAAUUCAAACAUAACAACAUCAAGGACAAGAAAAAAAAAGAAAGAAAAACAAAGAGGAAAGUUAAGAGAAGAAGAACAUGGCUUCACUCAAGA
rnacentral:lncRNA from 1 species